UACGUAGGGGGCAAGCGUUGUCCGGAAUCAUUGGGCGUAAAGAGCGCGUAGGCGGCCCUGUAAGUCCGCUGUGAAAGUCAAGGGCUCAACCCUUGAAUGCCGGUGGAUACUGCAGGGCUAGAGUCCGGAAGAGGCGAGUGGAAUUCCUGGUGUAGCGGUGAAAUGCGCAGAUAUCAGGAGGAACACCGAUGGCGAAGGCGGCUCACUGGCCCGAUGACUGACGCUGAGGCACGAAAGCGUGGGGAGCAAACAGG
rnacentral:rRNA from 1 species